CAGGACUGUCAAUCAAGAGGCUCUGCCUCUCUCCAUUACAUGUGACCCACGUGGGCCCAUCAGGAUCUUGUAUAGCCUCUGGAUGCAGAGACUGGUAUAUAGUGUCUCGUCCAAUCUUAGCAACAGAGGCAUUUGGAAUGGAUUGAUACAUAAAAGAGAAUGGCCUCCUUUCUGUCUCCACUGCUGCCAUGGUGCCCCUGAAAAAGCUUUUCAUGAAGGGGGGGCAAAAAAAGAAGCAAGUUCUGAAGUUUACCCUUGACUGCACUCACCCUCUAGAAGAUGGAAUCAUGGAUGCUGCCAAUUUUGAGCAGUUUCUUCAAGAGAGAAUCAAGUGAAUGGAAAAGCUUGGAAUCUUGGU